rnacentral:rRNA from 1 species
GUGGGGAAUUUUGGACAAUGGGGGCAACCCUGAUCCAGCAAUGCCGCGUGCAGGAAGAAGGCCUUCGGGUUGUAAACUGCUUUUGUACGGAACGAAACGGUCCUGGUUAAUACCUGGGGCUAAUGACGGUACCGUAAGAAUAAGCACCGGCUAACUACGUGCCAGCAGCCGCGGUAAUACGUAGGGUGCAAGCGUUAAUCGGAAUUACUGGGCGUAAAGCGUGCGCAGGCGGUUUUGUAAGACAGGCGUGAAAUCCCCGGGCUCAACCUGGGAAUGGCGCUUGUGACUGCAAGGCUGGAGUGCGGCAGAGGGGGAUGGAAUUCCGCGUGUAGCAGUGAAAUGCGUAGAUAUGCGGAGGAACACCGAUGGCGAAGGCAAUCCCCUGGGCCUGCACUGACGCUCAUGCACGAAAGCGUGGGGAGCAAACAGGAUUAGAUACCCCGGUAGUCC